rnacentral:rRNA from 1 species
AGCGAACGCUGGCGGCAGGCCUAACACAUACAAGUCGAACGAACUCUUCGGAGUUAGUGGCGGACGGGUGAGUAACACGUGGGAACGUGCCCUUUGGUACGGAAUAACUCAGGGAAACUUGAGCUAAUACCGUAUGUGCCCUUCGGGGGAAAGAUUUAUCGCCAUUGGAGCGGCCCGCGUCUGAUUAGCUAGUUGGUGAGGUAAAGGCUCACCAAGGCUACGAUCAGUAGCUGGUCUGAGAGGAUGAUCAGCCACAUUGGGACUGAGACACGGCCCAAACUCCUACGGGAGGCAGCAGUGGGGAAUCUUGCGCAAUGGGCGAAAGCCUGACGCAGCCAUGCCGCGUGAAUGAUGAAGGUCUUAGGAUUGUAAAAUUCUUUCACCGGGGACGAUAAUGACGGUACCCGGAGAAGAAGCCCCGGCUAACUUCGUG